rnacentral:rRNA from 1 species
UAGAGUUUGAUCCUGGCUCAGAAUCAACGCUGGCGGCGUGCCUAACACAUGCAAGUCGAACGCGAAAGUGGAGCAAUCCAUGAGUAGAGUGGCAAACGGGUGAGUAACGCGUGGGCGACCUACCUUCGAGUGGGGGAUAACCUUCCGAAAGGAGGGCUAAUACCGCAUGACAUCCCGUGUUUGGAUACACGGACAUCAAAGCCGGGGAUCGCAAGACCUGGCACUUGGAGAAAGGCCCGCGUCCGAUUAGCUAGUUGGUGAGGUAACGGCUCACCAAGGCUCCGAUCGGUAUCCGGCCUGAGAGGGCAGACGGACACACUGGAACUGAGACACGGUCCAGACUCCUACGGGAGGCAGCAGUGGGGAAUUGUUCGCAAUGGGCGCAAGCCUGACGACGCAACGCCGCGUGGAGGAUGAAGACCUUCGGGUC